rnacentral:tRNA from 1 species
GCGGGAGUGGCGAAAUGGUAGACGCGCUAGUUUCAGGAGCUAGUGUCUGGUGAAGACGUGUCAGUUCGACUCUGAUCUCCCGCA